rnacentral:rRNA from 1 species
CGUAGGUGGCAAGCGAUACUCGGAAUCACUAGGCGUAAAGCGCAGGUAGGCGGUUGGAUAAGUUUUUUGUGAAAGCUCCCGGCUUAACUGGGAGAGGCCAAGAAAUACUGUCUGACUUGAGUGUGGUAGGGGAAACUGGAAUUCCUGGUGUAGCGGUGAAAUGCGUAGAUAUCAGGAGGAAUACCUAUGGCGAAAGCAAGUUUCUGGGCCAUCACUGACGCUGAGCUGCGAAAGCUAGGGGGAGCAAACAGGAUUAGAUACCCUGGUAGUCCUAGCCCUAAACGAUGUUCAUUAGAUGUGGGAGGUAUCGACCCCUUCCGCGUCGGCGCUAACGCAUUAAAUGAACCGCCUGGGGAGUACGGCCGCAAGGUUG